GACGAACGCUGGCGGCGUGCCUAAUACAUGCAAGUAGAACGCUGAAGAGAGGAGCUUGCUCUUCUUGGAUGAGUUGAGCACGGGUGAGUAACGCGUAGGUAACCUGCCUUGUAGCGGGGGAUCACUAUUGGAAACGAGAGCUAAUACCGCAUAACAAUGGAUGACCCAUGUCAUUUAUUUGAAAGUGGCAAAUGCUGCACUACAAGACGGACCUGCGUUGUAUUGGCUAGUAGGUGAGGUAACGGCGCACCUAGGGGGGGAUACAUAGCCGCCCUGAGAGGGUGGUGGGCCCGGCUUGGACGGGGACCCGGCCCAGACUCCUACGGGAGGCAGCCGUAGGGCAUCUGCGGCGAUGGGGGCAACACUGACCGAGAAACGCCGGGUGAGUGAAGAAGGUUUUCGGCUCGUGAAGCUCUGUUGUAAGGCAAGAACGAGUGUUAGGGUGGAGAGUACACGCUGUGACGGUAGCUGACCAGAAAGGGACGGCUAACUACGUG
rnacentral:rRNA from 1 species